GAGUUUGAUCAUGGCCAGGAUGAACGCUAGCGGCAGGCUUAACACAUGCAAGUCGAGGGGCAGCGGGGUGUAGCAAUACAUCGCCGGCGACCGGCGCACGGGUGCGUAACACGUAUGGAACUUGCCCUUUACUGGAGGAUAGCCCGGAGAAAUCCGGAUUAAUACUCCAUAAUAAACGGGGUGGCAUCACCUUGUUUUGAAAGCUCCGGCGGUAAAGGAUGGCCAUGCGCCCGAUUAGCUAGUUGGUGAGGUAAUGGCUCACCAAGGCUACGAUCGGUAGGGGGCCUGAGAGGGUUAUCCCCCACACUGGUACUGAGACACGGACCAGACUCCUACGGGAGGCAGCAGUGAGGAAUAUUGCGCAAUGGAGGCAACUCUGACGCAGCCAUGCCGCGUGCAGGAAGAAGGCGCUACGCGUUGUAAACUGCUUUUAUCCGGGAAGAAACCCCCAUACGUGUAUGGGGUUGACGGUACCGGAGGAAUAAGCACCGGCUAACUUCGUGCCAGCAGCGCGGUAC
rnacentral:rRNA from 1 species